ACGGAGGAUGCGAGCGUUAUCCGGAUUUAUUGGGUUUAAAGGGUGCGUAGGCGGAUUAAUAAGUCAGUGGUGAAAACCUGCAGCUUAACUGUGGAACUGCCGUUGAUACUGUUAGUCUUGAGUAUGGUCAAGGUAGGCGGAAUGUGUAAUGUAGCGGUGAAAUGCUUAGAUAUGACACAGAUCACCGAUUGCGUAGGCAGGUUACUGGGCCUUUACUGACGCUGAUGCACGUAAGCGUGUCGAUCGAACAG
rnacentral:rRNA from 1 species